rfam:Corynebacterium aurimucosum ATCC 700975, complete genome.
CGGACUAUGGCGCAGUUUGGUAGCGCACUACACUGGGGGUGUAGGGGUCGCAGGUUCAAAUCCUGUUAGUCCGA